CUCAUACUCUGUGUAAUGACUUGUCUCAGGUCCUCCACAGCUCAUACUCUGUGUAAUGACUUGUCUCAGGUCCUCCACAGCCCAUACUCUGUGUAGUGACUUGUUUCAGGUCCUCCACAGCUCAUACUCUGUGUAGUGACUCUUCCUCCUCUUACACGUCCUCUUCCUCCUCACUCUCUGUCUCUGUUUCAUUGUCGGGCAGACUCUCUCUGUCCCUUCGGCUCAGAACAUGUCUAGAACAACUAAGCAGGGGUUAUUCUGUUCUACCUAUCAACUCUUUCUUUUCCUCUGUUUCUUGAUCUGUGUCCAGUCUGGAGGCUGGAAUAUCUGUGAGCUCUGUGAUACAAGGAUGUGGUUUUGAUGUGAUCUGAGCAGACUGGUGGGGUUGAAGUAGCCUGGCUGUGACAAAGCAGUGCCCCUCCACAGCCCAUACUCUGUGUAGUGACUUGUCUCAGGUCCUCCACAGCUCAUACUCUGUGUAGUGACUUGUCUCAGGUCCUCCACCGCUCAUACUCUGUGUAAUGACUUGUCUCAGGUCCUCCACAGCUCAUACUCUGUGUAAUGACUUGUCUCAGGUCCUCCACAGCCCAUACUCUGUGUAAUGACUUGUCUCAGGUCCUCCACAGCUCAUACUCUGUGUAAUGACUUGUCUCAGGUCCUCCACAGCUCAUACUCUGUGUAAUGACUUGUCUCAGGUCCUCCACCGCUCAUACUCUGUGUAAUGACUUGUCUCAGGUCCUC
ensembl:lncRNA